GAACAUCGAUGAUAUAAGAUUGGCGAUGAUUACAGUUUUUCAUGUAUCAUAUAAUUAUAUCAUUUCUAUUAUACAAACUGACUCCAGGAUAUUUAAUGCAUAUAACUUUUUUUUUCUUUUAAAGGUUUUGCUAUGUAUAUAUCUUGUGAUGACCCGUCCCUUUUGACCUUUUUCUCAGUCAAACAGUGCCGCCUAUGCCAGGUCAGCCGGUAAUAGAACUCAAGUUUAUUCCGGUAGCAGCAUGGCUUCUCGAUUCAAGCGGCAAGGAUAUGCCAUUAUCAUCAAUUUAUCAUGACGGGAAACUAGAGUUUGUUACAUGUUGUGGUCAGCCUGUUUACACCACUGUUCUCAGAGUCACAAAGGGUGAAGAAGAAUUUACGUUCUCUGAUGUGCCGGAGAAACCGAUUCCGUCUCUGUUGUAGGGUUACAGUGCUCCUAUCCGCUUACAAUCUGAUCUCAGAGAUGAUGAUUUGUUUUUCCUUCUUGCUCAUGAUUCAGAUGAAUUUAAUCGUUGGGAAGCUGGACAAUAUUGGCAAGGAAAUUGAUGCUUAAUCAAGUCGUUAAUUUCCAAAAUAGUAGUCCGUUGGUUCUUGAGCCACAAUUUGUGCAUGGUAUUAAAUGCAUACUUUUGGA